rnacentral:misc_RNA from 1 species
GAUGAAGAACGUAGUGAAAUGCGAUACGUAAUGUGAAUUGCAGAAUCCCGUGAACCAUCGAGUCUUUGAACGCAAGUUGCGCCUCAAGCCAUUAGGUUGAGGGCACGUCUGCCUGGGCGUCACAUAUCGUUGCCUGAUGCCAGUUUCCUCGUGAUGGGUGACUGUGCAGGGCGAAUGAUGGCUUCCCGUGAGCAUUGUUGCCUCAUGGUUGGUUGAAAAUUGAGUCCUUGGUAGGGAGCGCCGUGAUAGAUGGUGGUUGAGUGACGAACGAGACCCAAUCAUGUGAGACCCCUACCGAAUUUGGCCUUCAUGACCCACAUGCGUCUUUGGAACGCUCAUGACGAGACCUCAGGUCAGGCGGGGCUACCCGCUGAGUUUAAGCAUAUCAAUAAGCGGAGGA